rnacentral:lncRNA from 1 species
GUGGAACUUUCAUGGGACAAGUUACUCGCAACCCAAGGUUUUACUGUACGUAAAUGCAAGCACUGUGUAUGACAGAACAUCAGUCACUGACUUUAUAAAGCAUAAAUGAAGAAUUCUGCUAUUAUCUCCAUCUGACAGGUAGACAACGGGAAGCAGGGUUAGUCUGAGUUGCCUAGGGUCAUGGAGCUAGUGACAAGCAUUCCAGAAUAGGAACACCCCCUGGUUCUAGAAUCUGUGCCCUGAACACUCUAUCGCAACUACAGUGUAACAGGAAUAACAAAUGUGACACUUCCUUGGUGAUGUACCUGGCUCAACCGGGGCAGGUCUUACCGUGGAAUGUGGUCCCGUCACGUAUCUCAAAGUAGCCGGGGAACCCCAAAAGCACAGGUUUCACUGGACUCCUAUUUGUGCCGUUGGAAACUCUACCUCAGACAUAACUGAAAUCUGUGAACGUUCUCUCCGGAAACCCAUGGCCCUUUUUGUCCCUCUCAGGAGAAGGCUCUGUGAGAAAGAGGGACAACCCUCAGCAGUGCUCUCUCCCCGCAAGAUCUGCCUGCUUUUACACGUAUUUGGCAGAAGUUGAAAGCUGGGGUACGGCAAAAUGUGCUGUGUGGCUCCCAAUUACUGGGACGAGAAGGAAAUGCCAGGCUUCCUGGAAAGCAAUGCAAGCGGACAGAGAGUUCGUCGAGGUGGGGAUACGGACAGAAAUCAAGGCAAAGGAAGACCGAGGCCUGUGGACUCCCAGAAUGGCGGUGUUAUCAACUUCAGAUUGUUAAAAUACACUGGAAGGCACUAAAGGACUCCAAACAAUAGUAAGCAAGUCGACAAGUACAACAUAUAGCUCUUAAGGUAUAAAAGUGCUUUGGGGCGCCAGGGUGGCUCAGUCGGUUAAGCUUGCGACUUUGGCUCAGGUCACCAUCUCUCAGUUUGUGAGUUUGAGCCCCACGUCGGGCGCUGUGCUGACGGCUCAGAGCCUGGAGCCUGCUUCGGAUUCUGUGUGUCCCUCUCUCUCAGCCCCUUCCUUGCUCAUGCUCUAUCUCUGUCUCUCUCUCGAAAAUAAAUAAACAUUAAAAAAAAGAAAUAAAAGUGCU